ensembl:lncRNA
GAAUAUUAAGAGUAGCAGAAUACUUUUUCAGUUCUGUUUUAUACCUCUGUUGUUUUUACAAACCGUUCAUACUGUAAACGAGAGUCACAACUGUUUUUUAUAAGUUCACCAACUGUAUAACCGACAGGACUCACAAUCGUAGUCAAUAAAUCUGUGACGUGUGAACGGAUCCAUAUUAAGCGACAGUUGUCUACACGUCAUGCAAUGCGAGAGUAGCUCUUCGUUCCACAAAAUUGCGCGACUUUCAGUGUGACAUCUGGCAGGUGAUUUUGGAUCCCCUCGCUGUGUUCGCUGUGCUAGAGAUCCACUCGCCAGGCCUGCCGUGGUCUUUGCGUGACCCAAAUGCUGCGCUCUACACUCAGCUCCUUCUCCCAGCAGGAUGCCAUGUUGUUCUUGGAGGCUCUCAGAAGAAUACUGCUAUCAGAAGACUGGAUCUGUUGUCUGGUGCCUCUUGGGUUACUCUGUGUUAUGGCCUGAUUCCAGCACAGAUAAUAUUGGGCCUUGCUGUAAACAUUGUACUGUAGAUGACAUGUCUUAGAUGUGAAUAAUUUACAAGUCUGUCAGCAUUUUCCCGUCCUUAUGUUAGUCCAAACAUGUAUGUCUUUCUUUAUACUGUGGAAGCCAAAAG